UUUCCUGCUGCCUUGUGAAGAAGGUGCUUGUUUCUUCUUUGCCUUCUGCCAUGAUUGCCAUGUGAAUCGCACCCCUGGAACUGUGCAGGGCCCACCUGUGUGGCCACACGCAGUGACCCUGAGCAAAGGAGUGACCACAGAAGUGCAUGGCAAAGCAGAAAGGUGUGACGUCUUGGAGGACGCGGGAGGAAAGCACGCCCAGCGGACAGGAGCCAUCACGCGGCUGCGGGCUGCUGCUGAGAACCUGGCGUGGGCCACCGUCGUCAGCAGCGUGGAGGUAACUGACGACCUUGGCCAAGAAGUUGGGUGGCAGCGUGGAGGUCAUGCUCAGAGACACUUGUUAUUGCAGUCAGAGUCCAUCUGGAUAAUCCUGGAUAAAUCUCAUCUGGAGAUCCUUCACCAGAUCACAUCGGCAAUGACCUGUUCCCCAAAUAAGGCCCUGUGCACAGGUUCUGGGGUGCUAGGAGUGAGCCACCAUGCCUGGCCCAGUUUUUAAUGCUUGGACAUCUCCAAAAUCAGGACAUAUCUUGUAAUUGAAGACGUCUCACCAUAGCGGCCAGCCGUGCAACCACUGGGCCUGUCUGUGCCUGAACAACACACUGGCCUGCCUUUGCCUGAACAAGACAGCCUUAGUCUCAAAGCUUGCAGAUGGGUGUGGCCUGGUAGAAAAUUCUCAAGACAACGGCGGAGCACGCUUGCCCCUAGGAGACCAAGUGGCCGGAAUGUUGAGAAUCAGCCUUUCGCAGAAAUCCCCUAAGCGGGAGGCAGCAGGCUGACUCCAUCAGCCCCAGGCAGGCUUCUGGGCCCUGCAGCUAUGGCUCUUCAUCCUUUUACAUGUUCUUCGAGAAUCAGCUGCACCCUGGAUGCUUCUGACAGCUCAGAGGACAUCAGCAUGAGGACAAGCACAGGGCUUGAUGGCUCGGAGGGAAAUGGAGUUGGAAGAUUUGGACUUAAUGUGCACACAUUUUAGAAAUAUCUUAACAAAUUUUAUUUUGCUGAUAUCUUUCUUUUUUGUGUGUGCCAAAGUGAUGGCCAGUACAAAUCCAUGUCUAAUUAAGUCCAGAAGAGCUCCUUCAAUAAGCGUAAGAUGAAAGUUAUGAGUGAUAAGAAAGCGUCAUGUCAGUUUAAUUGGCAGCAUUUUCUCUUUCUUAGUGGUUCAUAAAAUAAGGCAGUGCUUUGCUAUCGACGGUGUCUGAAAUUCUGUGAAUAUUCAAAGUUAAAUCUCAUGCUGAACAGCCACUGUGCGCAAGGCGGGUGA
rnacentral:lncRNA from 10 species